GAACGCUGGCUGUAUGUCUAACACAUGCAAGUCGUACGAGAGUUUUUAACUCUAGUGGCGGACGGGUGAGUAACACGUGAGAAUUUGCCUUUAGGAGGGGGACAACAAUUGGAAACGAAUGCUAAUACCCCAUAUGCUUUCGAGUGAAGUGGAUUUAUAUUUAUCCGCCUAGAGAGAAGCUCGCGGCUGAUUAGCUUGUUGGUAAGGUAAGAGCUUACCAAGGCGACGAUCAGUAUCUGGUUUGAGAGGACGAUCAGACACACUGGAACUGAGACACGGUCCAGACUCCUACGGGAGGCAGCAGUGGGGAAUUUUCCGCAAUGGGCGAAAGCCUGACGGAGCAAUACAGCGUGAGGGAAGACUGCCUAUGGGUUGUAAACCUCUUUUUUCAGGGAGGAAUAAAUGACGUGUACCUGAAGAAUAAGCAUCGGCUAACUCCGUGCCAGCAGCCGCGGUAAGACGGAGGAUGCAAGUGU
rnacentral:rRNA from 1 species